rnacentral:rRNA from 1 species
UACAGAGGGUGCAAGCGUUGUUCGGAAUUACUGGGCGUAAAGCGCGCGUAGGCGGCUUUGUAAGUUAGAGGUGAAAGCCCGGAGCUCAACUCCGGAAUUGCCUUUAAGACUGCAUCGCUAGAAUCAUGGAGAGGUGAGUGGAAUUCCGAGUGUAGAGGUGAAAUUCGUAGAUAUUCGGAAGAACACCGAGUGGCGAAGGCGACUCACUGGACAUGUAUUGACGCUGAGGUGCGAAAGCGUGGGAGCAAACAGG